CUCCCUCCCUCAUCUCCUGCUGAUCACUUUGUGCUGUUAGCAUAAUUCCAAAUAAAAUAUGAAGGUAGCUUUGUGGAUAGUGGUGGCAACAUGGAUUUCCUGGACCAUUGUAUUUGGAACCGCCAGGGUUUAUCCAUUAACAGCAAAUGAUGACUACACACUUGGCGUCUUCCCCACGGCAAGCUUCAGCACUAAAGAUGCCACUGCGACCAGCUACUCCACAUUCCUUAGUGAUCUCCGAGGGAAACUGGGAAGUGGUAAUAGCAAUGGGAUACCCGUGUUGCCUGCCACAGUGGCCCAAGAUAAGCAGUAUCUUCUAGUGGAACUCACAAAUUCACAGAACUAUAAGGUCACAGUAGCAUUGAAUCUCAUCAACAUAUAUGUUGUGGCUUAUAAAGCUGGAAGUAAGGCCUUCUUCUUCAGCGAUGCUCCUGAUAAAGCAACUGAUUAUCUUUUCAAAGAUAAAGACACAAACCAAAUCAAAUUAAAAUUCACUGGUAGCUAUGUGGAUCUGCAGAAGAAUGGAGCAGAUAGAUUGAAAACCAAUUUGGGAGUCCUGGCAUUAGAUGAUUCAAUCUUUACACUCAACAAGUAUGAUAACACCCAGCCAACUAAAAUUGCUGGUCCUCUUGUGGUUACUAUCCAGAUGGUUGCAGAAGCUGCAAGAUUCACAUAUAUCGAGAGAAAAGUGCUGAGUAAUUUUGCCCAAAGAUUUCUUCCACUUGAAGACGUGACUAGCCGUGAGAACAAGUGGAAAUCUCUUUCCACUGGAAUCCAGAAAGCUGAUAAAAAUGGAAACUUUCCAACACCUGUUCAAUUGAAGAAUUCUGAUGGUUCGGCCAAUGUUGUGUCCACAGUUAAACAAGCAAAACCUGACAUGGGAAUCUUGUUGUAUGUAGCCAAUAAGAACUCCAAACCAAGCCUUGAACAAACACAAUCAUCAUUUUGGUUGUCCACCCUUAUUCAGAACUACUAGUGGCUGCCAUCGCUUGCUGCAUAUGUAUCUGGCAAUCUAGCUUGUAGUUUAAAAUAAUUACAAUCAAGGGAUCUCAACUUAGAUUUUUAUCUAAGUUUGAGUACCAGUCCUAGGCCCUUUCAGUAAAUAAAAAUAAAAAUAAAAUUAAAAAAACCCUAACACUAACUAAAAAACCUCAAUCUCCUUUCCUUGGUUACAUAAUUUCAAUCAAUUCUUCUCAAAAUUAGAGUAGAUCCACGAAACAAAACCAAUACAAACCCCAAAAAAAUUGCACCUAAUAAACACACAUCAAAACAAAAAGCCAAAAAAAUAAACUUUCAACAAAAAGGAAAAAAACCUAGAAAUCACAUACAAUCAGGAAUUCCAAAAAAGCGUACCUGAAACGCGUUCGAUGAAGUGAAAAAUAUGACCUAGACCAGUAAUUCGUGGGUUUUUAAUUGUCGAUCGCAAGAUUAUUACUCGGGAUAGGUAUUGAAAGAAGAUAUUGAGCUAAUCUCUGACCUCUUAUCUUCUAACCGUCUCCGUCGAGGUAGAA
rnacentral:misc_RNA from 1 species